rnacentral:rRNA from 1 species
UACGAAGGGGGCUAGCGUUGCUCGGAAUUACUGGGCGUAAAGGGCGCGUAGGCGGCACUGUUAGUCAGGCGUGAAAGUCCUGGGCUCAACCUGGGAACUGCGCUUGAUACGGCAGAGCUAGAGGAUGGAAGAGGCUCGCGGAAUUCCCAGUGUAGAGGUGAAAUUCGUAGAUAUUCGCAAGAACACCAGUGGCGAAGGCGGACUCACUGGCCCGUAACUGACGCUGAGGCACGAAAGCGUGGGGAGCAAACAGGG